rnacentral:lncRNA from 1 species
AUCAAAUUAAAAAGUUUUUGUGCAGCAAAGGAAAUAAUCAAUAGAGAAAAAGGCAGCCUAUGGAAUGAGAGAAAAUAUUUGCAGACUAUAUACCUGAUAAAUGGUUAAUAUUCAAAAUAUAUAAGGAACAUCUAUAACUCAGUAGCAAAAAUCAAAAAACCCUUUAAAAAAUGGGCAAGAGAUUUGAAUAGAUAUUUCUCCAAAGACAUCCAAAUGUAGAACAGGUAUAAGAAAAGAUGUUCAGUAUCACUAAUUAUUACACAAACACAAAUCAAAAUCACAAAGAGAUAUUGCCUUACAGGUGUUGGGAUGGCCACAAUCAAACAAACAAGCAAACAAACACAAACCAGAAAACUACAAAUUGCAAUAAAAGCUUCUUAAAACACCAUUUUGGCAUUUUUUUCUGAAAGAGAGAGUGAAGGAAAAUCUACAAACCGCAUUGUGAUCUAAACAAGACCGUCGGGACUAGAGAAGCAUGGCCAGGAGAAGGGACAGGGGAGAAAAUGUGGAAGGAGAGGAAGGAAGGAUAAUCCUGAGACUCUCAAAAGCAAAUAAUUGGAAAAAGUGGAAUAGAGAACUGGCUUGAGUUUACAAAUGAAUAAAUAAAACCCAGAUUUUUGUACUGACUGGUGUCGUGAUACUCUUACCUCUGCAAACCCACAGGCAGUUGCUUCAGACUUUUCCAAACACUAGAAAACCUCUUGAAGAAAUUUCAUAAUGUAACAGAAAGAAGAUUUAUUUUCACAUUUAUCAGUUCUGGAUUUCAAACAUGACAUUUACCAAAAGUCUAAUCUUGGAAUGGUAAACGUUUGAGAUUGAGUUUCUGUAUUAAUAAAGCAAAUAUACUUUUCUGAUAGAGGUUUUGAGAAGUAAAUGAGACAAUGUGUGUGAAAGUAACUAGAAAGUAGCUGACACAGAGCAGAUGUUCAAUAAAUGCUGAUUUUUCCCUUACCCAAUCUUCUGGACAAAGCAAAGAAACCAAGGCACAUUUGGGCCGGGCAUGGUGGCUCACAUCUGUAAUCCCAGCACUUUGGGAGGCCGAGGAAGGCAAAUCACAAGGUCAGGAGUUCGAGACCAGCCUGGCCAACACGGUGAAACCCUAUCUCUACUAAAACUACAAAAAAUUAGCCAGGCUUCAUGGUGGGAGCCUGUAAUCCUGGCUACUCAGGAGGCUGAAGCAGGAUAAUGACUUGAACCCGGGAGGUGUAGGUUGCAGUGAGCCAAGAUUGCUCCACUGUACUCCAGCCUGGGCGACAGUGAGAGGCUCCAUCUCAAAAAAAAAAAAAAGAGGGAAAAAAGAAACCAAGGCACAUUUGAAGCUAAAGGAAUAUCCAUUUAUGUUGUUCAAUGGGUCAGGGUGUAGUGAUCAUGGGGUGAGGAGUAGCCCCUCAUUUUCAGAAGCAGAGAAGGAUACCUUAAGUCUUCCAUCGCGCUUUGCCCUGGGAACCUAAGCAGUUAAUACUAUUUUCUUGAGGGGAGGGGAAUACUUAAGAUUUCAAAUUUAUGAUACCAUGAAUCUAUAUAAUUUUUAAACUAUAAACAUGCAUAGUCUAUUUGCAAGUGGGGUAAAACUUUGUGGAAUAUAAAAUUACCUUUAUAAUAAAAAAAAGCAAUGUAGUUACAAUAACAAUAAUAAAAAUCAGAUUUACAAAAAAUUUGAAAAUUACUUUCUCAAAUAAUUAUUAUGUCUGUAAAUAUUGUUUCCUGAUGUAUUUAAAA